AUUGAACGCUGGCGGCAUGCCUUACACAUGCAAGUCGAACGGCAGCACGGGUGCUUGUACCUGUUGGCGGGUGGCGGAGGGGGGAGUAAUACAUCGGCACAGGUACUGUCGUGGGGGAGGGCGCGGCGAAAGGCGGAUUAAUACCGCAUACGAUUUCCGGAUGAAAGCGGGGGCCCGUGGGGCCUCGCCCUUUAGGGUUGGACGAUGCCUGAUUAGCUAGUUGGGGGGGUAAGGGCCUAGCAAGGCGACGAUCAGUAGCUGGUCUGAGAGGACGACCAGCCACACUGGAACUGAGACACGGCCCAGACUCCUACGGGAGGCAGCAGUGGGGAAUUUUGGACAAUGGGCGAAAGCCUGAUCCAGCAAUGCCGCGUGUGUGAAGAAGGCCUUCGGGUUGUAAAGCACUUUUGUCCGGAAAGAAAUCCAGCGCGCUAAUACGGUAGGGGGAUGACGGUACCGGAAGAAUAAGCACCGGCUAACUACGUG
rnacentral:rRNA from 1 species